rnacentral:rRNA from 1 species
UAGAGUUUGAUCCUGGCUCAGGAUGAACGCUAGCGACAGGCUUAACACAUGCAAGUCGAGGGGCAGCACAGGUAGCAAUACCGGGUGGCGACCGGCGCACGGGUGAGUAACGCGUAUGCAACUUACCUAUCAGAGGGGGAUAACCCGGCGAAAGUCGGACUAAUACCGCAUGAAGCAGGGGCCCCGCAUGGGGAUAUUUGCUAAAGAUUCAUCGCUGAUAGAUAGGCAUGCGUUCCAUUAGGCAGUUGGCGGGGUAACGGCCCACCAAACCGACGAUGGAUAGGGGUUCUGAGAGGAAGGUCCCCCACAUUGGUACUGAGACACGGACCAAACUCCUACGGGAGGCAGCAGUGAGGAAUAUUGGUCAAUGGGCGUAAGCCUGAACCAGCCAAGUCGCGUGAGGGAUGAAGGUUCUAUGGAUCGUAAACCUCUUUUAUAAGGGAAUAAAGUGCGGGACGUGUCCCGUUUUGUAUGUACCUUAUGAAUAAGGAUCGGCUAACUCCGUGCCAGCAGCCGCGGUAAUACGGAGGAUCCGAGCGUUAUCCGGAUUUAUUGGGUUUAAAGGGUGCGUAGGCGGCCUUUUAAGUCAGCGGUGAAAGUCUGUGGCUCAACCAUAGAAUUGCCGUUGAAACUGGGGGGCUUGAGUAUGUUUGAGGCAGGCGGAAUGCGUGGUGUAGCGGUGAAAUGCUUAGAUAUCACGCAGAACCCCGAUUGUGAAGGCAGCCUGCCAAGCCAUGACUGACGCUGAUGCACUAAAGCGUGGGGAUCAAACAGGAUUAGAUACCCUGGUAGUCCACGCAGUAAACGAUGAUCACUAGCUGUUUGCGAUACAGUGUAAGCGGCACAGCGAAAGCGUUAAGUGAUCCACCUGGGGAGUACGCCGGCAACGGUGAAACUCAAAGGAAUUGACGGGGGCCCGCACAAGCGGAGGAACAUGUGGUUUAAUUCGAUGAUACGCGAGGAACCUUACCCGGGUUUGAACGCAUUCGGACCGAGGUGGAAACACCUCUUCUAGCAAUAGCCGUUUGCGAGGUGCUGCAUGGUUGUCGUCAGCUCGUGCCGUGAGGUGUCGGCUUAAGUGCCAUAACGAGCGCAACCCUUGCCACUAGUUACUAACAGGUGAUGCUGAGGACUCUGGUGGGACUGCCAGCGUAAGCUGCGAGGAAGGCGGGGAUGACGUCAAAUCAGCACGGCCCUUACAUCCGGGGCGACACACGUGUUACAAUGGCGUGGACAAAGGGAUGCCACCUGGCGACAGGGAGCGAAUCCCCAAACCACGUCUCAGUUCGGAUCGGAGUCUGCAACCCGACUCCGUGAAGCUGGAUUCGCUAGUAAUCGCGCAUCAGCCAUGGCGCGGUGAAUACGUUCCCGGGCCUUGUACACACCGCCCGUCAAGCCAUGGGAGCCGGGGGUACCUGAAGUCCGUAACCGCGAGGAUCGGCCUAGGGUAAAACUGGUGACUGGGGCUAAGUCGUAACAAGGUACCGUA